AGAAUCAACGCUGGCGGCGUGCCUAACACAUGCAAGUCGCACGAGAAAGGGACUUCGGUCCUGAGUACAGUGGCGCACGGGUGAGUAACACGUGAAUUAUCUACCUCCGAGUGGGGAAUAACUGAGAGAAAUCUUAGCUAAUACCGCAUAACACUUACGAGUCAAAGCAGCAAUGCGCUUGGAGAGGAGUUCGCGGCAGAUUAGUUAGUUGGCGGGGUAAUGGCCCACCAAGACGAUGAUCUGUAUCCGGCCUGAGAGGGCGCACGGACACACUGGAACUGAAACACGGUCCAGACUCCUACGGGAGGCAGCAGUGGGGAAUUUUGCGCAAUGGGGGAAACCCUGACGCAGCAACGCCGCGUGGAGGAUGAAAUAUCUUGGUAUGUAAACUCCUUUCGAUGGGGAAGAUAAUGACGGUACCCAUAGAAGAAGCCCGGCUAACUUCGCGCCAGCAGCCGC
rnacentral:rRNA from 1 species